GUGCCAGCAGCCGCGGUAAUACGAAGGGGGCUAGCGUUGCUCGGAAUCACUGGGCGUAAAGGGCGCGUAGGCGGCCUUGUAAGUUGGGGGUGAAAGCCCGUGGCUCAACCACGGAAUUGCCUUCGAUACUGCUUGGCUUGAGUGUGGUAGAGGUUGGUGGAACUGCGAGUGUAGAGGUGAAAUUCGUAGAUAUUCGCAAGAACACCGGUGGCGAAGGCGGCCAACUGGACCAUCACUGACGCUGAGGCGCGAAAGCGUGGGGAGCAAACAGGAUUAGAUACCCUGGUAGUCC
rnacentral:rRNA from 1 species